rnacentral:rRNA from 1 species
AGCUCCAAUAGCGUAUAUUAAAGUUGUUGCAGUUAAAAGCUCGUAGUUGGAUUUCUGGCAGGGCGCCGAGCAUCACUGCUGUGAAGCGAGGACCCGGCCAUCCUUCUGUCAACUUUCGGUUGGGAUUCAUUUCUCGCCAAAGCGAUCAGAUAAUUUACCUUGAGAAAAUUAGAGUGUUUCAGGCAGGCUUAGCCGGAAUACAUUAGCAUGGAAUAAUGGAAUAGGACUCGUGUCCCGUUGUUGGUUACGUGGAUAGGAGUAAUGAUUAAUAGGGAUAGUUGGGGGCAUUAGUAUUUAAUAGCUAGAGGUGGAAUUCUCUAAUUUGUUAAAGACUAACUUAUGCGAAAGCAUUUGCCAAGGAUGUUUUCA